rnacentral:rRNA from 1 species
AAAACAGUUACCAGCUCUCCGAGUGGUGUGGACGUUUAUUGGGCCUAAAGCAUCCGUAGCUGGCUGAACAAGUCCCCUGUUAAACCCACCGAUUUAAUCGUUGGUCUGCGGGGGAUACUGCUCGGCUAGGGGACGAGAGAGGCAGACGGUAUUCCCGGGGUAGGGGUGAAAUCCUAUAAUCCCGAGAAGACCACCAGUGGCGAAGGCUGUCUGCUAGAACGCGCCCGACGGUGAGGGAUGAAAGCUGGGGGAGCGAACCGGAUUAGAUACCCGGGUAGUCCCAGCUGUAAACGAUGCAGACUAGGUGUUUGGACGGCCACGUGCCGUUCUAGUGCCGCAGGGAAGCUGUUAAGUCUGCCGCCUGGGGAGUACGAUCGCAAGAUUGAAACUUAAAGGAAUUGGCGGGGGAGCACCACAAGGGGUGAAGCUUGCGGUUUAAUUGGAGUCAACGCCGGAAAUCUCACCGGGAGCGACAGCAGGGUGAAAGCCAGAUUAAAGGUCUUGCUAGACGAGCU